CUUGGUUCAGGAUGAACGCUAGCGACAGGCCUAACACAUGCAAGUCGAGGGGCAGCACAAGGAGCAAUCUGAGGUGGCGACCGGCGCACGGGUGAGUAACACGUAUGCAACCUGCCUGUAAGCGGGGAAUAACCCGUUGAAAGACGGACUAAUACCGCAUAAUACUAAAUUACUGCAUGGUAAUUUAUUUAAACAUUUUAUGGCUUACAGAUGGGCAUGCGCAUGAUUAGCUAGUUGGAGAGGUAACGGCUCCCCAAGGCAACGAUCAUUAGGGGUUCUGAGAGGAAGGUCCCCCACACUGGUACUGAGACACGGACCAGACUCCUACGGGAGGCAGCAGUGAGGAAUAUUGGUCAAUGGACGAGAGUCUGAACCAGCCAAGUCGCGUGCAGGAAGAAUGUUACCCUAUGGAUUGUAAACUGUCUUUUGCGAAGGGGAAUAAAGUGCAUCACGUGUGAUGUUUUGUAUGUACUCUGCGAAUAAGGAUCGGCUAACUCCGUGCCAGCCGCAGC
rnacentral:rRNA from 1 species